rnacentral:rRNA from 1 species
GACGAACGCUGGCGGCGUGCUUAACACAUGCAAGUCGAACGAUGAAGCCCAGCUUGCUGGGUGGAUUAGUGGCGAACGGGUGAGUAACACGUGAGUAACCUGCCCUGGACUCUGGGAUAACCCCGAGAAAUCGGAGCUAAUACCGGAUAGGACCUUUCCUCGCAUGAGGUUUGGUGGAAAGUUUUUCGGUUUGGGAUGGACUCGCGGCCUAUCAGCUUGUUGUUGAGGUAAUGGCUCACCAAGGCGUUGACGGGUAGCCGGCCUGAGAGGGUGACCGGCCACACGGGGACUGAGACACGGCCCAGACUCCUGCGGGGGGCAGCAGUGGGGAAUAUUGCACAAUGGGGGCAAGCCUGAUGCAGCAACGCCGCGUGCGGGAUGACGGCCUUCGGGUUGUAAACCGCUUUUAGUAGGGAAGAAGCCUUCGGGUGACGGUACCUGCAGAAAAAGGACCGGCUAACUACGUGCCAGCCGCCGCAGUAACAC